UUCAAUAUCCCCAAUUUCAGAAAACAAACAAUCUUUUUCCAUUGGUGCCAUCUCCUGUCUUUAGAAUUUGUUGUUAUAACAUUCAUUGCAAAUUCUGCAUCUGCAACCAUAUUCGUUGAUGGGGUCUCAGAAACUAAUUGUUGUUCCUUAGUUGAAUAAUUGAUUUGAACUAGAGGUCUUGUCUUCUUUUCCUUGUGCGCAUCUUGCCCUCAUCUUCGUAUAAAAAUUUAGUUUUGUGAAAGAAGUAAGAUCCUAUAGCAAUCAAUGAUUUAAUUAUCUUGACUUUUGGGCUUCGUUUAUGUUUAAUGUUUUUCAUUUGUAUUUUACGAAUUAAGCGAUCCCAAUUGUAAGACGGACUCAAUUGUUGUUCAGUUUCAAGGUUUUUCUAGAAAAUGAAAGUUUCAAUUGGCAUUAAAUGUUGCGUAUGCAUUAUGUAGUGUUUUAGUUCGAGUUUACUGUCAGAGAUGCUUUUGUUCAAUAUGUAAUUCGAGCUGGUAAUCCUCUAAAGAGGAUAAGUAGCAGAGUGACUGCUGAUUUUCGCUCGUCUUAGCUUAGGAAAUGACUUAUAAUAACUUAAAAGACAGAUGCCGCUGCUGUGAGGUGUGAAGGAAGGACAAGCAAGGGAACGUAAAUAGUUAAGCGAGCUGUAGUGUAAGUGAAAGGACGCCGUGCCAUGAGAUGGGGGGUUCUUAUUCUUUUGAAGGAAUAUACCUUCAUUUAUUAAUUUACGACGCCCUCGAAGGAAAUGUUCCAAUCAAAUUCUAAGCUUUCCUCCUUCGCCGAAGAGCCUCCAGGACAAGGAGGUAGUUAUGGGAAUGUUCAGAAUGGUUUGCUAUGCAAUCUUCCCAUUUGCGUAGUCAAUGGCAAACUCAAAUAUGGGCCUUCUUAGGUAAAAACGAGUUGUUGAAAAAACUCAAUGUGAAUAAACAAGAAGAAACAGAAGUAUGAGUAAAUUUAUUCUUAUUUAAAGGAGAUUACAAGAUUUUGAGGUUGAAUCUUUACUUUCCUUGUUGGUAUUCCGCUUUUGAGGGUCAUUUGGAUCUUAAUGUCUUUUGAAGUUAAGAUUUAUGGAGUCUUUUCAACUAUGAUUUGUUGUUCUUGUCAAAUUUUGAGAAGUUUGGAUUUUGUUUGUGGAAUUGAUUGUUUGAUUCAAAUACAUUACUAAAUUACUCCUUUAGGCAGAAAGUUGGGCAACUGGAUAAAUCUUUACUCAUGUAUCUGGGCUAUUGGAUAAAUCUGGAAGAGGCCAUGGAAAGAGAGGAAAGGCUAAGGAUUUGAAGGCAAGUUCUGAACAUAUACAUGAUGGGGGUUGGGUACCUAUUUCUUUCUAGGAUUACUGUUGGAGCAUAAUUGUUUGAAGAGAUAGCAGAUUGGUCUCCAUUAGUUGAAGUGGAACUUAAAUGAGAAGCAAAUUGCAUGUUGGCAAUGUGAUUAGGUUUAAUUACCUUAUAAUGUAAAUAAUGACAUUCAUGAAGUUUCUUUUUGAUGAUUUCGCUAAUGUGAUUGGAAAUAUGUUUGAAAAUAAUAUUAUUGAACUUGAG
rnacentral:lncRNA from 1 species